rnacentral:lncRNA from 1 species
UCCAUGGCAAUCCAAUGAGAUUGAUGCCUCGAAGACCUAUGUUUAUCAGAAAAUAUAAGUUUAUUCAAUUAUUGGCAUCAGUAUACAUCAUUGCAUUGCAUAAGCUGAGAAACUUUGUGGCUCUCAUUUUAAUAUGGAACCGAACUGUCUACAGCAACACUGAAGAUGAUGGUGGUUGGUUUCACAUUCCAAUUGAUAAGGUGGGCGAAAGCCUCUUUCUAAGCAGUCACUCUGGCACGACACAUCAGUGCAACCCGCUAAAUCUCUGCAUAAGCGUCGUUGAACUACAAUGCAAUACAUCACAUAAGAAAAAAUUUAGUAAUACAGUCCAUAAAACUAAAAUAUUUGCUGACAGAUUAAUUAAUUUCAACUUUUGGAAACUGCAUGUAAAAUAUAAGUAAUGUUGCUUACUCGCUUGGCAGGAAGGCAACGUUGAGAACAUGAACACAGUGACCAAUAAAGCAACAACUAUGUUGUACAUGACCAUCCUUGUGUUUCUCUUGAUGAGUGCCAUGAGGAAAUGUGACUUAUGUUCGGUGUUUGUUUUUCACUUCCAAGCUCCUUUACAGGUGUUUAUAU